rnacentral:rRNA from 1 species
CGGAGGAGCAUGUGGUUUAAUUCGUAUGAUACGCGAGGAACCUUACCUGGGCUCGAACGUAAGAUGACUGUAGGUGAAAGCUUACAUCUCUUCGGAGCAUUUUACGAGGUGCUGCAUGGUUGUCGUCAGCCCGUGCCGUGAGGUGUCGGGUUAAGUCCCAUAACGAGCGCAACCCCUACCUUAGUUGCCAUCAGGUUAAGCUGGGGACUCUAAAGGAACUGCCUACGCAAGUAGUGAGGAAGGCGGGGAUGACGUCAAAUCAGCACGGCCCUUACGUCCAGGGCUACACACGUGCUACAAUGGCCGAUACAGAGGGCAGCUACCUGGUGACAGGAUGCAAAUCUCCAAAGUCGGUCUCAGUUCGGAUCGGAGUCUGCAACCCGACUCCGUGAAGUUGGAUUCGCUAGUAAUCGCGCAUCAGCCAUGGCGCGGUGAAUACGUUCCCGGGCCUU